GUCUAUUCUGCCCAUUGAGUAAGUUCUUAAAAGGCCGCGGUAUUCUAACUGUGCAAAGGUAGCAUAAUCAUUAGUUUCUUAAUUGGAGGCUUGUAUGAAUGAUUGGAUAAAAAUUGAACUGUCUUUUUUUAAUAGAUUGAAUUUUAUUUUUGAGUGAAAAAGCUCAAAUGAAUUAGAGGGACGACAAGACCCUAUAAAUCUUUAUGAAGAUCUUUUUAUUCAGUAAAAUAUAGUUUGUUAAAUACUGAUAAAAGGUUAAUUCAUUGUACUGGGGCGGUAGAGAUAUACAAAAACUAUUUAAAAAUUCAAACAAAAUAUAUUUGUGCGAGUAAAAGAUCUUAAUUAUAGAUUUAAAGAAUAAGUUACUUUAGGGAUAACAGCAUAAUUUUUCUUGAGAGUUCGAAUCGAAAGAGAAGUUUGUGACCUCGAUGUUGAAUUAAAAUUUUCCU
rnacentral:rRNA from 1 species